CUACACCCAUUUGAUGUGCUUCUUAGUCUCGUUUAACUUGCCGAUUCAUAUAUCCCUGUCUCAUUUGUUCUUAGAUUUGUCACGAAGCCUCUGGUUUUUGGCUUGUCCUGGUUUGAACUUGGUGUAUCUGGCUCUUGACUCAUUUUCUGACCUCAGACCAUCCUUAAAUCUGCUUUUCUACUUUGUACCAGGCUUUGGCGUCUCCAAGUACCUGACCUCAGCUCAACCUGUCUUGGGUUUUCUUCUCCUCCCUGACAUUGACAACCCAGCCCUCCUAGGCACAGAGAGAUGGAGCUGAGUGUGGUUUUCCUGAAAUAAAGCUUGCAUUAUGAGAGGGAAUAAACAGAAGAAAAAAAUAGUAAGUAAAAUCUUGCUUGCCUCUCAGUAAAAUAAAGCUCUAUUUUUCGUUUUUUUUUUUUCCAAC
ensembl:lncRNA novel transcript, antisense to C7orf33 and CNTNAP2